AAGGAUCAUUAUCGAAUAAACAUUUGAUAGGCUGUUGCUGGCCCUUCUAGGGUAGUGUGCACGCUUGUCAUUUUUUUGUUUAUUUUUCCACCUGUGCACCCUUUUUGUAGACCUAGAGAAAGCAAAUUGUCUUGAGCAAUCAGGAUAGGGUUUGGGGAUUGCUGUGUCAGCUUUCCCUUGUCUCUCUAGGUUCUAUGUUACUCACAUACUCCUACGAAUGUAAUAGAAUGUUGAUCUGGGUCUUUGAUGCCCAUAAAGUUAUAUACAACUUUCAGCAAUGGAUCUCUUGGCUCUCGCAUCGAUGAAGAACGCAGCUGAGCCAUCGAUGUGGAAGUAAAAGUCGUAACAAG
rnacentral:misc_RNA from 1 species